GUGAAGAUGCAGUGUACCCGCGGCUAGACGGAAAGACCCCGUGAACCUUUACUGCAGCUUGACACUGAACUUUGACCUUACUUGUGUAGGAUAGGUGGGAGGCUUUGAAGCUGGAACGCUAGUUCCAGUGGAGCCGUCCUUGAAAUACCACCCUGGUAAUGUUGAGGUUCUAACUCUGUCCCGUGAUCCGGGACGAGGACCGUGUCUGGUGGGUAGUUUGACUGGGGCGGUCUCCUCCUAAAGAGUAACGGAGGAGUACGAAGGUGCGCUCAGCGUGGUCGGAAAUCACGCGUAGAGUAUAAAGGCAAAAGCGCGCUUAACUGCGAGACCCACAAGUCGAGCAGGUACGAAAGUAGGUCUUAGUGAUCCGGUGGUUCUGUAUGGAAGGGCCAUCGCUCAACGGAUAAAAGGUACUCUGGGGAUAACAGGCUGAUACCGCCCAAGAGUUCAUAUCGACGGCGGUGUUUGGCACCUCGAUGUCGGCUCAUCUCAUCCUGGGGCUGAAGCAGGUCCCAAGGGUAUGGCUGUUCGCCAUUUAAAGAGGUACGCGAGCUGGGUUUAGAACGUCGUGAGACAGUUCGGUCCCUAUCUACCGUGGGCGCUGGAAAUUUGAGAGGAUCUGCUCCUAGUACGAGAGGACCAGAGUGGACGAACCUCUGGUGUACCGGUUGUGACGCCAGUCGCAUCGCCGGGUAGCUAUGUUCGGAAGGGAUAACCGCUGAAAGCAUCUAAGCGGGAAGCCUACCUCAAGAUAAGAUUUCCCUAGGACUUUAUGUCCUCUAAAGAGCCGUUCGAGACUAGGACGUUGAUAGGUUGGAUGUGGAAGCAUAGUGAUAUGUGAAGCUGACCAAUACUAAUUGCUCGUGAGGCUUGACUAUACAACACCCAAGCAGUUG
rnacentral:rRNA from 1 species